rnacentral:rRNA from 1 species
GACGAACGCUGGCGGCGUGCUUAACACAUGCAAGUCGAACGGUAAGGCUCCAGCUUGCUGGGGUACACGAGUGGCGAACGGGUGAGUAACACGUGGGUGACCUGCCCUGCACUUCGGGAUAAGCCUGGGAAACUGGGUCUAAUACCGGAUAGGACCAUGGUGUGGAUACUGUGGUGGAAAGUUUUUUCGGUGUGGGAUGGGCCCGCGGCCUAUCAGCUUGUUGGUGGGGUAAUGGCCUACCAAGGCGGCGACGGGUAGCCGGCCUGAGAGGGUGGACGGCCACAUUGGGACUGAGACACGGCCCAGACUCCUACGGGAGGCAGCAGUGGGGAAUAUUGCACAAUGGGCGGAAGCCUGAUGCAGCGACGCCGCGUGGGGAUGACGGCCUUCGGGUUGUAAACUCCUUUCACCAUCGACGAAGGGUUUCUGACGGUAGAUGGAGAAGAAGCACCGGCUAACUACGUG